AGCAGCCGCGGUAAUUCCAGCUCCAAUAGCGUAUAUUAAAGUUGUUGCAGUUAAAAAGCUCGUAGUUGAAUUUCGGGGUCAGUAGGCUGGUCGUGCCACAGGUAUGAACUGGUCUCACUGAUUCCUCCUUCCUGAUGAACCGUAAUGCCAUUAAUUUGGUGUUGCGGGGAGACUGGACUGUUACUUUGAAAAAUUAGAGUGUUUAAAGCAGGCUAACGCUUGAAUACAUUAGCAUGGAAUAAUGAAAUAGGACGUUUGAUUCUAUUUUGUUGGUUUCUAGGAUCGACGUAAUGAUUAAUAGGGAUAGUUGGGGGCAUUAGUAUUCAAUUGUCAGAGGUGAAAUUCUUGGAUUUAUUGAAGACUAACUACUGCGAAAGCAUUUGCCAAGGAUGUUUUCAUUAAUCAAGAACGAAAGUUAGGGGAUCGAAGACGAUCAGAUACCGUCGUAGUCUUAACCAUAAACUAUGCCGACUAGGGAUCGGAUGGUGUUAUUUUUGAUGACUCAU
rnacentral:sRNA from 1 species